rnacentral:rRNA from 1 species
AUUGAACGCUGGCGGCAGGCCUAACACAUGCAAGUCGAGCGGAUGAAGGGAGCUUGCUCCUGGAUUCAGCGGCGGACGGGUGAGUAAUGCCUAGGAAUCUGCCUGGUAGUGGGGGAUAACGUCCGGAAACGGGCGCUAAUACCGCAUACGUUCUGAGGGAGAAAGUGGGGGAUCUUCGGACCUCACGCUAUCAGAUGAGCCUAGGUCGGAUUAGCUAGUUGGUGGGGUAAAGGCCUACCAAGGCGACGAUCCGUAACUGGUCUGAGAGGAUGAUCAGUCACACUGGAACUGAGACACGGUCCAGACUCCUACGGGAGGCAGCAGUGGGGAAUAUUGGACAAUGGGCGGAAGCCUGAUCCAGCCAUGCCGCGUGUGUGAAGAAGGUCUUCGGAUUGUAAAGCACUUUAAGUUGGGAGGAAGGGCAGUAAGUUAAUACCUUGCUGUUUUGACGUUACCAACAGAAUAAGCACCGGCUAACUUCGUG